rnacentral:rRNA from 1 species
UACAGAGGUCUCAAGCGUUGUUCGGAUUCAUUGGGCGUAAAGGGUGCGUAGGUGGCGCGCUAAGUCAGGUGUGAAAUCUCGGGGCUUAACUCCGAAACUGCAUUUGAUACUGGCGUGCUUGAGGACUGGAGAGGAGACUGGAAUUCAUGGUGUAGCAGUGAAAUGCGUAGAGAUCGGGAAGAACAUCGGUGGCGAAGGCGGCCUGCUGGGCCGUUGCUGACGCUGAGGCGCGACAGCGUGGGGAGCAAACAGG